rnacentral:misc_RNA from 1 species
UUGCAGCUGCUCCCCUGAUCCGGUUCAGAUAGGCUCUUCUUGACAGGAUCACCAUGUCUGCCUUUGUGGGAAAAUACGCAGAUGAGCUGAUCAAGACGGCCAAGUACAUCGCGACGCCGGGGAAGGGCAUCCUCGCCGCCGACGAGUCGACGGGCACCAUCGGCAAGCGCCUGGCCAGCAUCAACGUGGAGAACGUGGAGCCCAACCGCCAGGCGCUCCGGGAGCUCCUCUUCACGACGCCCGGCGCGUUCCAGUACCUCUCCGGCGUCAUCCUCUUCGAGGAGACGCUCUACCAGAGCACGGCCGCCGGCACGCCGUUCGUCGACGUGCUCAAGGCCGGCGGCGUCGUGCCGGGGAUCAAGG